GAAAGAAUUAGUUGGGCUUACACCGCUCAAACUAUUACCCAGGAGGUCAGCUCUUGCAGGCCGUGUGCAUGCUUCAUCAUUUGAAGAAGCCUAAAGCCUGUAACCAGACUUCCACCUGUACAUAACAGGCCGGUGGUAAGCCCACUAAUUCUCCCUUC
rfam:Legionella quinlivanii strain CDC#1442-ATS-E Lqui_ctg004, whole genome shotgun sequence.